GACGUAGGAGGCAAGCGUUAUCCGGAGUUACUGGGCGUAAAGCGCGUGUAGGCGGGCGUGUAAGUGGUUCGUGAAAUAUCCGGGCUAAACUCGGGUAGGUCGAAUCAGACUGCAUGUCUGGAGGCGGGUAGAGGGGUGCGGAAUUCCGGGUGUAGCGGUGAAAUGCGUAGAUAUCAGGAGGAACGCCUGUGGUGUAGACGGCUCUCUGGACCAUUACUGACACUGAGGUACGAAAGCGUGGGUAGCAAACAGG
rnacentral:rRNA from 1 species